CCUACGGGUGGCAGCAGUGGGGAAUAUUGCACAAUGGGGGAAACCCUGAUGCAGCAACGCCGCGUGAAGGAAGACGGUUUUCGGAUUGUAAACUUCUGUUCUUCGUGAAGAAUAAUGAUGGUAGCUAAGGAGCAAGCCACGGCGAACUACGUGCCAGCAGCCGCGGUACUACGUAGGUGGCAGGCGUUGUCCGGAAUUACGGGGUGUAAAGGGAGCGCAGGCGGGAAGCCAAGUCAGCUGUGAAAACUACGGGGUUAACUUGUAGACUGCAGUUGAAACUGGUUUUCUUGAGUGAAGUAGAGGUUGGCGGAAUUCGGGGUGUAGCGGUGAAAUGCGUAGAUAUUCGGAGGAACACCGGUGGCGAAGGCGGCCAACUGGGCUUUAACUGACGCUGAGGCUCGAAAGUGUGGGGAGCGAACAGGAUUAGAUACCCCAGUAGUC
rnacentral:rRNA from 1 species